UUGGUGAUUCAUGAUAACUUAACGGAUCGCAUGGCCUUGCGCCGGCGAUGGUUCAUUCAAAUUUCUGCCCUAUCAACUUUCGAUGGUAAGGUAGUGGCUUACCAUGGUUUCAACGGGUAACGGGGAAUUAGGGUUCUAUUCCGGAGAGGGAGCCUGAGAAACGGCUACCACAUCCAAGGAAGGCAGCAGGCGCGCAAAUUACCCAAUCCCGAUACGGGGAGGUAGUGACAAUAAAUACUGAUACAGGGCUCUUUUGGGUCUCGUAAUUGGAAUGAGUACAAUCUAAAUCCCUUAACGAGGAACAAUUGGAGGGCAAGUCUGGUGCCAGCAGCCGCGGUAAUUCCAGCUCCAAUAGCGUAUAUUAAAGUUGUUGCCGUUAAAAAGCUCGUAGUUGAACCUUGGACCUGGCUGGCCGGUCCGCCUCACGCGUGUACUGGUCCGGCCGGGCCUUUCCUUCUGGAGAGCCUCAUGCCCUUCACUGGGGUGUGU
rnacentral:rRNA from 1 species